rnacentral:rRNA from 1 species
AGCGAACGCUGGCGGCAGGCCUAACACAUGCAAGUCGAACGAAGUCUUCGGACGUAGUGGCGGACGGGUGAGUAACACGUGGGAACGUGCCUUUAGGUUCGGAAUAACUCAGGGAAACUUGUGCUAAUACCGAAUGUGCCCUUCGGGGGAAAGAUUUAUCGCCUUUAGAGCGGCCCGCGUCUGAUUAGCUAGUUGGUGAGGUAAAGGCUCACCAAGGCUACGAUCAGUAGCUGGUGUGAGAGGAUGACCAGCCACAUUGGGACUGAGACACGGCCCAAACUCCCACGGGAGGCAGCAGUGGGGAAUCUUGCGCAAUGGGCGAAAGCCUGACGCAGCCAUGCCGCGUGGAUGAUGAAGGUCUUAGGAUUGUAAAAUCCUUUCACCGGUGAAGAUAAUGACUGUAGCCGGAGAAGAAGCCCCGGCUAACUUCGUGCCAGCCGCCGCAGUAAGAC